rnacentral:rRNA from 1 species
CAGCCGCCGCGGUAAUACCGGCGGCCCGAGUGGCGGUCACUAUUAUUGGGCUUAAAGCGUCCGUAGCCGGGUUGGGAAGUCCUCCGGGAAAUCUGGCCGCUUAACGGUCAGAAUGCCGGAGGAUACUCCCAGCCUAGGGAGCGGGAGAGGCCGAGGGUAUUCCCGGAGGAGGGGCGAAAUCCUAUAAUCCCGGGAGGACCACCUGUGGCGAAGGCGCUCGGCUGGAACGGGUCCGACGGUGAGGGACGAAGGCCAGGGGAGCAAACCGGAUUAGAUACCCGGGUAGUCCUGGCUGUAAACGAUGCGGACUUUGUGUCGGACAAGCUAUGAGCUUGUCCGGUGCCGGAGGGAAACCGUUAAGUCCGCCGCCUGGGGAGUACGGCCGCAAGGCUGAAACUUAAAGGAAUUGGCGGG